rnacentral:rRNA from 1 species
GUUUGGGCUUAGUGCUAGUGGGUGAGAGGAGAACUCCACAGUUAAGCGUGCUCAGGUGGGAGUAGUACUAGGAUGGGUGACCUCCUGGGUAGUCUCCACCGGUGCAACAA